UACGUAGGUGGCAAGCGUUGUCCGGAAUCACUGGGCGUAAAGCGCGCGCAGGCGGCGAUCUACGUCUGGGGUGAAAGCCCGGAGCUCAACUCCGGGACUGCCUUGGAUACGGGAUCGCUUGAGGAUUGGAGAGGCAAGGGGAAUUCCACGUGUAGCGGUGAAAUGCGCAGAUAUCAGGAGGAACACCGGUGGCGAAGGCGGAUCUCUGGGCCAUUACUGACGCUGAGGAGCGAAAGCGUGGGGAGCGAACAGG
rnacentral:rRNA from 1 species